AUCGUCGGCCACAGAAGCGAGAAACCGCCGAAUCCCGUCCGCUCUUCGAAGCUUUAAGCUCGCUAUCGCCCGGUUAGUACCAUCGUGGGGGACCAGAUGGGAAUCCCGGGUGCUGACGUUU
rnacentral:rRNA from 1 species